CUCAAUACAUCCCAGACCUCCCCCUCUCUCUCUCUCAUGGCCUCAAUACAUCCCAGACCUCCCCCUCUCUCUCUCUCAUUGCCUCAAUACACCCCAGACCUCCCCUCUCUCCCCCUCUCUCUUUCUCUCAUGGCCUCAAUACACCCCAGACCUCCCCCUCUCUCUCUCUCAUGGUCUCAAUACACCUCCCCCUCUCUCUCAUGGCCUCAAUACACCUCCCCCUCUCUCUCUCAAUACACCCUAGACUUCCCCCUCUCUCUCUCUCUCUCUCUGCACAACUGCUGUUGAAGGAACAACAUCAUCCAGUAUUUUAGCCUCAAGACAAAUCAAACUGGUGUUGUCCCAAAUGGCUCCCUCUUCACUACUUUUAACCAGGCCCCAUCGGGGAUUUUAGUCGAAAGUAGUGUACAAUGUAGUUGAGAAUAGUUGACCAUUUUGGUACGGCGCCAUUAUACCAACCAACCACCAACUGUAACACAGCAAUCCAUGUCUCGUAUUUUAACAGGCGAUCCUAUUAAUGUCUACAUUCACUGAAUGACUAGGGUACCAAGUACUCCAUCCAGAAUGAUCCCCUGCACUACGUUCUGAUUAGAGCAAAGGGGGUGCCGUUUGGGAGGCCCAAUUACUAUCAGUAUAUCUAUCAGACAUGAAGGUCUAGGCCCUACUCUAGGAUGUCAACAGGUCCUGGUGUAGGCCUUACAGUAGGGUGUCAACAGGUCCUGGUGUAGGCCUUACUGUAGGGUGUCAACAUGUCCUGGUGUAGGCCUUACUGUAGGGUGUCAACAGGUCCUGGUGUAGGCCUUACUGUAGGGUGUCAACAGGUCCUGGUGUAGGCCUUACUGUAGGGUGUCAACAGGUCCUGGUGUAGGCCUUACUGUAGGGUGUCAACAGGUCCUGGUGUAGGCCUUACUGUAGGGUGUCAACAGGUCCUGGUGUAGGCCUUACUGUAGGGUGUCAACAGGUCCUGGUGUAGGCCUUACUGUAGGGUGUCAACAGGUCCUGGUGUAGGCCUUACUGUAGGGUGUCAACAGGUCCUGGUCUAGGCCUUACUGUAGGGUGUCAACAGGUCCUGGUGUAGGCCUUACUGUAGGGUGUCAACAGGUCCUGGUGUAGGCCUUACUGUAGGAUGUCAACAGGUCCCGGUGUAGGCCUUACUGUAGGGUGUCAACAGGUCCUGGUGUAGGCCUUACUGUAGGAUGUCAACAGGUCCUGGUGUAGGCCUUACUGUAGGGUGUCAACAGGUCCUGGUGUAGGCCUUACUGUAGGGUGUCAACAGGUCCUGGUGUAGGCCUUACUGUAGGGUGUCAACAGGUCCUGGUGUAGGCCUUACUGUAGGGUGUCAACAGGUCCUGGUCUAGGCCUUACUGUAGGGUGUCAACAGGUCCUGGUGUAGGCCUUACUGUAGGGUGUCAACAGGUCCUGGUCUAGGCCUUACUGUAGGGUGUCAACAGGUCCUGGUCUAGGCCUUACUGUAGGGUGUCAACAGGUCCCAGCCCUGCCAGACAUCACUCAUCUUAUACAAAAAACAAAAACAAUUAUCCUGUUUAUUAAAAACCAAAUAAAUCUGUGAUCAUGAA